ensembl:misc_RNA Y_RNA Y RNA
GUCUGGUCUGAGUGUGGUGGUGUUUACAACUAAUUAAUCACCACCAGUUACAAAUUCCUUUGUUUCUUCUCUCACUGCUUUACUUGACUAGCCUUUG